rnacentral:rRNA from 1 species
CCUACGGGGGGCUGCAGUGGGGAAUCUUGGACAAUGGGCGCAAGCCUGAUCCAGCCAUGCCGCGUGAGUGACGAAGGCCCUAGGGUUGUAAAACUCUUUCGCCGAGGACGAUAAUGACGGUACUCGGAGAAGAAGCUCCGGCUAACUUCGUGCCAGCAGCCGCGGUAAUACGAAGGGGGCUAGCGUUGUUCGGAUUUACUGGGCGUAAAGCGCAUGUAGGCGGGCCGUUAAGUUGGGGGUGAAAGCCCGGAGCUCAACUCCGGAAUUGCCUUCAAAACUGGCGGCCUGGAGCAAGAUAGAGGCGAGUGGAAUUCCGAGUGUAGAGGUGAAAUUCGUAGAUAUUCGGAGGAACACCAGUGGCGAAGGCGGCUCGCUGGAUCUUUGCUGACGCUGAGAUGCGAAAGCGUGGGGAGCAAACAGGAUUAGAUACCCUUGUAGUC